GGUCGCUUAGCUCAGUUGGUUAGAGCGUGGUGCUAAUAGCUUCAACUGUUAACGCCAAGGUCGCGAGUUCGACCCUCGUAGUGACCA
rnacentral:tRNA from 1 species